rfam:Schistosoma haematobium scaffold95_9, whole genome shotgun sequence.
GCACUGCUGAGGAGUCCCAAAUAGGGCAAAACGGCCAUCCAGUGC